UAAAGAAUUCUUGGGUUCCAAGGGACGGGGGGGGUUUUAAAAAACAAAUGGAAAGGGGUUAGCAACCACUGUUCUGGGGGAAUAAUUGGCAGAACGGGUGGAAAACACCGUGGGAAAUCUGCCCCCCACUCUGGGAAAAACCCCCGGAAAAGGGGGUCUAAUACCGGGAUACUUGACCCUCGCAGGCAUCUGCGAGGUUCUGAAAGCUUCCGGCGGUGCAAGGAUGAGCCCGCGGGCCUAUCAGCUUGUGGGUGAGGUAAAGGCUUCACCAAGGCGGACGACGGGUAGCCGGCCUGAGAGGGCGACCGGCCACACUGGGACUGAGACACGGCCCAGACUCCUACGGGAGGCAGCAGUGGGGAAUAUUGCACAAUGGGCGAAAGCCUGAUGCAGCGACGCCGCGUGAGGGAUGACGGCCUUCGGGUUGUAAACCUCUUUCAGCAGGGAAGAAGCGAAAGUGACGGUACCUGCAGAAGAAGCGCCGGCUAACUACGUGCCAGCAGCCGCGGUAAUACGUAGGGCGCAAGCGUUGUCCGGAAUUAUUGGGCGUAAAGAGCUCGUAGGCGGCUUGUCACGUCGGUUGUGAAAGCCCGGGGCUUAACCCCGGGUCUGCAGUCGAUACGGGCAGGCUAGAGUUCGGUAGGGGAGAUCGGAAUUCCUGGUGUAGCGGUGAAAUGCGCAGAUAUCAGGAGGAACACCGGUGGCGAAGGCGGAUCUCUGGGCCGAUACUGACGCUGAGGAGCGAAAGCGUGGGGAGCGAACAGGAUUAGAUACCCUGGUAGUCCACGCCGUAAACGGUGGGCACUAGGUGUGGGCAACAUUCCACGUUGUCCGUGCCGCAGCUAACGCAUUAAGUGCCCCGCCUGGGGAGUACGGCCGCAAGGCUAAAACUCAAAGGAAUUGACGGGGGCCCGCACAAGCGGCGGAGCAUGUGGCUUAAUUCGACGCAACGCGAAGAACCUUACCAAGGCUUGACAUACACCGGAAAGCAUCAAAGAUGGUGCCCCCCUUGUGGUCGGUGUACAGGUGGUGCAUGGCUGUCGUCACCUCGUGUCCUGAAAUGUUGGGUUAAGUCCCGCAACGAGCGCAACCCUUGUCCCGUGUUGCCAGCAGGCCCUUUGGGGUGCUGGGGACUCACGGGAAACCCCCGGGGUCAACUCCAAAGAAAGUGGGGACCACGUCAAGUCAUCAUGCCCCCUUAUGUCUUGGGCUGCACACCGUGCUACAAUGGCCGGUACAAUGAGCUGCGAUACCGCAAGGUGGAGCGAAUCUCAAAAAGCCGGUCUCAGUUCGGAUUGGGGUCUGCAACUCGACCCCAUGAAGUCGGAGUCGCUAGUAAUCGCAGAUCAGCAUUGUUGCGGUGAAUACGUUCCCGGGCCUUGUACACACCGCCCGUCAUUUCACGAAAGUCGGUUUCUAUUGAUCGUCUCGCUAUAAUU
rnacentral:rRNA from 1 species